AACGCUAGCUACAGGCUUAACACAUGCAAGUUGAGGGGCAGCAUGGUCUUAGCUUGCUAAGGCCGAUGGCGACCGGCGCACGGGUGAGUAACACGUAUCCAACCUGCCGUCUACUCUUGGACAGCCUUCUGAAAGGAAGAUUAAUACAAGAUGGCAUCAUGAGUCCGCAUGUUCACAUGAUUAAAGGUAUUCCGGUAGACGAUGGGGAUGCGUUCCAUUAGAUAGUAGGCGGGGUAACGGCCCACCUAGUCUUCGAUGGAUAGGGGUUCUGAGAGGAAGGUCCCCCACAUUGGAACUGAGACACGGUCCAAACUCCUACGGGAGGCAGCAGUGAGGAAUAUUGGUCAAUGGGCGAGAGCCUGAACCAGCCUAGUAGCGUGAAGGAUGACUGCCCUAUGGGUUGUAAACUUCUUUUAUAAAGGAAUAAAGUCGGGUAUGUAUACCCGUUUGCAUGUACUUUAUGAAUAAGGAUCGGCUAACUCCGUGCCAGCAGCCGCGGUAAUACGGAGGAUCCGAGCGUUAUCCGGAUUUAUUGGGUUUAAAGGGAGCGUAGAUGGAUGUUUAAGUCAGUUGUGAAAGUUUGCGGCUCAACCGUAAAAUUGCAGUUGAUACUGGAUAUCUUGAGUGCAGUUGAGGCAGGCGGAAUUCGUGGUGUAGCGGUGAAAUGCUUAGAUAUCACGAAGAACUCCGAUUG
rnacentral:rRNA from 1 species